ACUUAAUUUCAUGACCUUUCGAUCCCCUCUUCGGAUUACACUUAUAGUUUUCCAUUAGCUUACCGAUUUCACUGUCUCCUUCCUUCCUCCUUCACCUCUCGCCUUGCCCCUAUAAAAAUCGCCAGAACCUCCUAUCCCUACCCAUCAAAAACUUUAAAAUCUCUAGCUUUCCCUCGUUUUCUCGAGAAACAAACAGAAACCCGAAACCCAACAGCAAGAAAAUCCACCGGAGGGAAAGCCCUAAGGAACAACUAGCCACGAAGGCAGCCAGGAAAACAUCUCUUUGGACACGAGCUAAACUUCUAAAACUGCGGUUGUUGAGAGC
rnacentral:lncRNA from 1 species